GGGUUGUGAGGUUAAGCGACUAAGCGUACACGGUGGAUGCCCUGGCAGUCAGAGGCGAUGAAGGGCGUGCUAAUCUGCGAUAAGCGCCGGUAAGGUGAUAUGAACCGUUAUAACCGGCGAUACCCGAAUGGGGAAACCCAGUGUGACUCGUCACACUAUCAUUAACUGAAUCCAUAGGUUAAUGAGGCGAACCGGGGGAACUGAAACAUCUAAGUACCCCGAGGAAAAGAAAUCAACCGAGAUUCCCCCAGUAGCGGCGAGCGAACGGGGAGGAGCCCAGAGCCUGAAUCAGCAUGUGUGUUAGUGGAAGCGUCUGGAAAGGCGCGCGAUACAGGGUGACAGCCCCGUACACAAAAGCGCAUGUGCUGUGAGCUCGAUGAGUAGGGCGGGACACGUGGUAUCCUGUCUGAAUAUGGGGGGACCAUCCUCCAAGGCUAAAUACUCCUGACUGACCGAUAGUGAACCAGUACCGUGAGGGAAAGGCGAAAAGAACCCCGGCGAGGGGAGUGAAAAAGAACCUGAAACCGUGUACGUACAAGCAGUGGGAGCACAGGUUUACCUGUGUGACUGCGUACCUUUUGUAUAAUGGGUCAGCGACUUAUAUUCUGUAGCAAGGUUAACCGUAUAGGGGAGCCGGAGGGAAACCGAGUCUUAAUUGGGCGUUAAGUUGCAGGGUAUAGACCCGAAACCCGGUGAUCUAGCCAUGGGCAGGUUGAAGGUUGGGUAACACUAACUGGAGGACCGAACCGACUAAUGUUGAAAAAUUAGCGGAUGACCUGUGGCUGGGGGUGAAAGGCCAAUCAAACCGGGAGAUAGCUGGUUCUCCCCGAAAGCUAUUUAGGUAGCGCCUCGUGAAUUCAUCUCCGGGGGUAGAGCACUGUUUCGGCUAGGGGGCCAUCCCGGCUUACCAACCCGAUGCAAACUGCGAAUACCGGAGAAUGUUAUCACGGGAGACACACGGCGGGUGCUAACGUCCGUCGUGAAGAGGGAAACAACCCAGACCGCCAGCUAAGGUCCCAAAGUCAUGGUUAAGUGGGAAACGAUGUGGGAAGGCCCAGACAGCCAGGAUGUUGGCUUAGAAGCAGCCAUCAUUUAAAGAAAGCGUAAUAGCUCACUGGUCGAGUCGGCCUGCGCGGAAGAUGUAACGGGGCUAAACCAUGCACCGAAGCUGCGGCAGCGAACGUAUCACUUAAAGCGAUUCAGCGGGUUACGAUUGACGGAGCGAAGCGACGUCAAAGCGUAUACAAAGUCGAGUCGGUUUAAGGAUACGUUCGUUGGGUAGGGGAGCGUUCUGUAAGCCUGUGAAGGUGGCCUGUGAGGGUUGCUGGAGGUAUCAGAAGUGCGAAUGCUGACAUAAGUAACGAUAAAGCGGGUGAAAAGCCCGCUCGCCGGAAGACCAAGGGUUCCUGUCCAACGUUAAUCGGGGCAGGGUGAGUCGACCCCUAAGGCGAGGCCGAAAGGCGUAGUCGAUGGGAAACAGGUUAAUAUUCCCGUACUUGGUGUUACUGCGAAGGGGGGACGGAGAAGGCUAUGUUGGCCGGGCGACGGUUGUCCCGGUUUAAGCGUGUAGGUGUGUGUUCCAGGUAAAUCCGGUUCACUUUAACACUGAGGCGUGAUGACGAGGCACUACGGUGCUGAAGCAACAAAUGCCCUGCUUCCAGGAAAAGCCUCUAAGCAUCAGGUAACAUCAAAUCGUACCCCAAACCGACACAGGUGGUCAGGUAGAGAAUACCAAGGCGCUUGAGAGAACUCGGGUGAAGGAACUAGGCAAAAUGGUGCCGUAACUUCGGGAGAAGGCACGCUGACACGUAGGUGAAGUGAUUUACUCAUGGAGCUGAAGUCAGUCGAAGAUACCAGCUGGCUGCAACUGUUUAUUAAAAACACAGCACUGUGCAAACACGAAAGUGGACGUAUACGGUGUGACGCCUGCCCGGUGCCGGAAGGUUAAUUGAUGGGGUCAGCGCAAGCGAAGCUCCUGAUCGAAGCCCCGGUAAACGGCGGCCGUAACUAUAACGGUCCUAAGGUAGCGAAAUUCCUUGUCGGGUAAGUUCCGACCUGCACGAAUGGCGUAAUGAUGGCCAGGCUGUCUCCACCCGAGACUCAGUGAAAUUGAACUCGCUGUGAAGAUGCAGUGUACCCGCGGCAAGACGGAAAGACCCCGUGAACCUUUACUAUAGCUUGACACUGAACAUUGAGCCUUGAUGUGUAGGAUAGGUGGGAGGCUUUGAAGCGUGGACGCCAGUCUGCGUGGAGCCGACCUUGAAAUACCACCCUUUAAUGUUUGAUGUUCUAACGUGGACCCGUAAUCCGGGUUGCGGACAGUGUCUGGUGGGUAGUUUGACUGGGGCGGUCUCCUCCUAAAGAGUAACGGAGGAGCACGAAGGUUGGCUAAUCCUGGUCGGACAUCAGGAGGUUAGUGCAAUGGCAUAAGCCAGCUUGACUGCGAGCGUGACGGCGCGAGCAGGUGCGAAAGCAGGUCAUAGUGAUCCGGUGGUUCUGAAUGGAAGGGCCAUCGCUCAACGGAUAAAAGGUACUCCGGGGAUAACAGGCUGAUACCGCCCAAGAGUUCAUAUCGACGGCGGUGUUUGGCACCUCGAUGUCGGCUCAUCACAUCCUGGGGCUGAAGUAGGUCCCAAGGGUAUGGCUGUUCGCCAUUUAAAGUGGUACGCGAGCUGGGUUUAGAACGUCGUGAGACAGUUCGGUCCCUAUCUGCCGUGGGCGCUGGAGAACUGAGGGGGGCUGCUCCUAGUACGAGAGGACCGGAGUGGACGCAUCACUGGUGUUCGGGUUGUCAUGCCAAUGGCACUGCCCGGUAGCUAAAUGCGGAAGAGAUAAGUGCUGAAAGCAUCUAAGCACGAAACUUGCCCCGAGAUGAGUUCUCCCUGAGACUUAGAGUCUCCUGAAGGAACGUUGAAGACGACGACGUUGAUAGGCCGGGUGUGUAAGCGCAGCGAUGCGUUGAGCUAACCGGUACUAAUGAACCGUGAGGCUUAACCUUACAACGCCGAAG
rnacentral:rRNA from 1 species